rnacentral:misc_RNA from 1 species
GAAAUGCGAUAAGUAAUGUGAAUUGCAGAAUUCAGUGAAUCAUCGAAUCUUUGAACGCACAUUGCGCCCGCCAGCACUCUGGCGGGCAUGCCUGUUCGAGCGUCAUUUCAACCCUCAGAACCCCUUGCGGGAUCUGGCGUUGGGGAUUGGCAUCCAGCCAGCCCCGAAAUCUAGUGGCGGUCCCUCCGCGACCUCCCCUGUGCAGUAGCGAUACCUCGCAGCGGGACAGCGGUCUGACCACGCCGUAAAACCCCCAACUUCUCAAGGUUGACCUCGAAUCAGGUAGGAAUACCAGCUGAACUUAAGC